AGGGCUUUAUCUUAAUUUAAAGAGCUUGAGUUGCAUUCAUGAGAUGUGGGUUAAUAUUCCACAAGUCCUA
rnacentral:tRNA from 1 species